AGGACGAACGCUGGCGGCGUGCUUAACACAUGCAAGUCGAACGAUGAAGGAGGAGCUUGCUCCUCCGGAUUAGUGGCGAACGGGUGAGUAAUACGUGAGCAAUGUGCCCUUGACUCUGGGAUAAGCGCUGGAAACGGCGUCUAAUACCGGAUACGACCCUCGGAGGCAUCUCCUGUGGGUGGAAAGACUUCGGUCAAGGAUCAGCUCACGGCCUAUCAGCUAGUUGGUGAGGUAACGGCUCACCAAGGCGACGACGGGUAGCCGGCCUGAGAGGGUCGACCGGCCACGACGUGGGACUGAGACGACGCCAGACUCCGUACGGGAGGCAGCGAGUGGGAAUAGUUGACACAGU
rnacentral:rRNA from 1 species